UAGUAAUGGCAGGUCAGCAUACUGCCGUGAAUACGUUCCCGGGCCUUGUACACACCGCCCGUCACACCAUGAGAGUUGGGGAUACCCGAAGCCUGUGAGCUAACUGUAAAGAGGCAGCAGUCGAAGGUAGAGCCAAUGAUUGGGGUGAAGUCGUAACAAGGUAUC
rnacentral:rRNA from 1 species